UAAGGUGAACCUGCGGAAGGAU
rnacentral:rRNA from 1 species